ACCAAGUACAAAACAGAACAAAACAAAAAGGCUCUUGGUUACUGGUCCCCCAAUAUGGGGAUUAUUCAUCAUGCUGGGAACACUGACGCCCUGCCUACCACCAGGCUUUGUGCCAAUGUGCUGAGGGUGGGCAAAGCAGGAGGUCCCUGAGGAGGUGUGAGCAGGUGAAGACAGCCCAGCAGGUGGAUGGCAGACGACCUGGAUCAGCUGCACACUCACAGCUCCCUGCACGGGUGAGGGGUCGCUGAAUAUGUUGGAGGACAGACCACAGGUGCACACGCCGUGCCAGCAAGAGCUGAGACGGCCAAGGUUAAGUAUGGAAGUUUGCUGAACCCUGACAGAUUCACAACUGGAGACCUCAGAAGGGAUACUACCAGGGACACUGUCACCCCCUCAGCAUGGGGACUCCAUGAACAACUGCACAAGGACUCCCCCCACCGCAGUGUUCCCAAGAGAAGAUAUGCACUUCCUCAUUCCCAGGUGCCAUCUCAGGGAAUAGAAGGAGGAGAGGCAGAAUUUGAAAGACCCGAGCAUUUACCUGAAAGAGACUAU